UCCCAGACUCCUACGGGAGGCAGCAGUGGGGAAUAUUGCACAAUGGGGGAAACCCUGAUGCAGCGACGCCGCGUGAGUGAAGAAGUAAUUCGUUAUGUAAAGCUCUAUCAGCAGGGAAGAAAAUGACGGUACCUGAGUAAGAAGCCCCGGCUAACUACGUGCCAGCAGCCGCGGUAAUACGUAGGGGGCAAGCGUUAUCCGGAUUUACUGGGUGUAAAGGGAGCGUAGGCGGCAGUGCAAGUCAGAAGUGAAAGCCCGGGGCUCAACUCCGGGACUGCUUUUGGAACUGCGUGGCUGGAGUGCAGGAGGGGCAGGCGGAAUUCCUGGUGUAGCGGUGAAAUGCGUAGAUAUCAGGAGGAACACCGGCGGCGAAGGCGGCCUGCUGGACUGAAACUGACGUUGAGGCUCGAAAGCGUGGGGAGCAAACAGGAUUAGAUACCCGAGUAA
rnacentral:rRNA from 1 species